UACGGGGGGGGCAAGCGUUGUUCGGAAUUACUGGGCGUAAAGGGCUCGUAGGCGGCCAACUAAGUCAGACGUGAAAUCCCUCGGCUUAACCGGGGAACUGCAUCUGAUACUGGAUGGCUUGAGUUCGGGAGAGGGAUGCGGAAUUCCCGGUGUAGUGGUGGAAUGCGUAGAUAUCGGGAGGAACACCAGUGGCGAAGGCGGUUGCCUGGAGCUUUGCUGACGCUGAUGCGCGAAAGCGUGGGGAGCGAUCCGG
rnacentral:rRNA from 1 species